rnacentral:rRNA from 1 species
UACCUGGUUGAUGCCUGCCAGUAGUCAUAUGCGUUGUGCUCAAAGACUAAGCCAUGCAUGUCUAAGUAUAAGUAUUAUACAGCGAAACUGCGAAUGGCUCAUUAAAACAGUUAUAGUUUAUUUGAUAAUCGAAUUUACAUGGAUAACCGUGGUAAUUCUAGAGCUAAUACAUGCUGGUGUGCCCGACUUUUGUGGAAGGGCGGUAUUUAUUAGAUAACAAGCCAAUAUUCCUCUGGUCUAUUGUGGUGACUCAUAAUAACUGAUCGAAUCGCAAGGCCCAUGGCCGCGGUAAGUCAUUCAAGUUUCUGCCCCAUCAGCUUUCGAUGGUAGUGUAUUGGACUACCAUGGCGUUUACGGGUAACGGAGGAUUAGGGUUCGAUUCCGGAGAGGGAGCCUGAGAAACGGCUACCACAUCUAAGGAAGGCAGCAGGCGCGUAAAUUACCCAAUCCUGACUCAGGGAGGUAGUGACAAGAAAUAACGGACCGGGGCCUUACGGCUUCGGGAUUGCAAUGAGCCGAAUUUACACCCCUUAGCGAAGAUCGAUUGGAGGGCAAGUCUGGUGCCAGCAGCCGCGGUAAUUCCAGCUCCAAUAGC